rnacentral:rRNA from 1 species
GUGAACGCUGGCGGUAGGCCUAACACAUGCAAGUCGAACGGCAGCACAGUAAGAGCUUGCUCUUACGGGUGGCGAGUGGCGGACGGGUGAGGAAUACAUCGGAAUCUACUUUUUCGUGGGGGAUAACGUAGGGAAACUUACGCUAAUACCGCAUACGACCUACGGGUGAAAGCAGGGGAUCUUCGGACCUUGCGCGAUUGAAUGAGCCGAUGUCGGAUUAGCUAGUUGGCGGGGUAAAGGCCCACCAAGGCGACGAUCCGUAGCUGGUCUGAGAGGAUGAUCAGCCACACUGGAACUGAGACACGGUCCAGACUCCUACGGGAGGCAGCAGUGGGGAAUAUUGGACAAUGGGCGCAAGCCUGAUCCAGCCAUACCGCGUGGGUGAAGAAGGCCUUCGGGUUGUAAAGCCCUUUUGUUGGGAAAGAAAAGCAGCAGGUUAAUAACCCGCUGUUCUGACGGUACCCAAAGAAUAAGCACCGGCUAACUUCGUG